GACGUAGGGCGCGAGCGUUGUCCGGAUUUAUUGGGCGUAAAGAGCUCGUAGGCGGCUUGUCGCGUCGACCGUGAAAACUUGGGGCUCAACCCCAAGCCUGCGGUCGAUACGGGCAGGCUCGAGUUCGGUAGGGGAGACUGGAAUUCCUGGUGUAGCGGUGAAAUGCGCAGAUAUCAGGAGGAACACCAGUGGCGAAGGCGGCGAUCUGGGUAGAUACUGACGCUGAGGUGCGAAAGCGUGGGGAGCAAACAGG
rnacentral:rRNA from 1 species